UUGGCGGACGGGUGAGUAAUACUUAGGAAUCUGCCUAUUAAUGGGGGACAACAUCUCGAAAGGGAUGCUAGUACCGCAUACGCCCUACGGGGGAAAGCAGGGGACCACUUGUGACCUUGCGUUAAUAGAUGAGCCUAAGUCGGAUUAGCUAGUUGGUGGGGUAAAGGCCUACCAAGGCGACGAUCUGUAGCGGGUCUGAGAGGAUGAUCCGCCACACUGGGACUGAGACACGGCCCAGACUCCUACGGGAGGCAGCAGUGGGGGAUAUUGGACAAUGGGGGGAACCCUGAUCCAGCCAUGCCGCGUGUGUGAAGAAGGCCUUAUGGUUGUAAAGCACUUUAAGCGAGGAGGAGGCUCUUUUGGUUAAUACCCAAGAUGAGUGGACGUUACUCGCAGAAUAAGCACCGGCCAACUCUGUGCCAGCAGCCGCGGUAAUACGA
rnacentral:rRNA from 1 species